rnacentral:rRNA from 1 species
GUAAUGUCUGGGAAACUGCCUGAUGGAGGGGGAUAACUACUGGAAACGGUGGCUAAUACCGCAUAACGUCGCAAGACCAAAGAGGGGGACCUUCGGGCCUCUUGCCAUCAGAUGUGCCCAGAUGGGAUUAGCUAGUUGGUGAGGUAACGGCUCACCAAGGCGACGAUCCCUAGCUGGUCUGAGAGGAUGACCAGCCACACUGGAACUGAGACACGGUCCAGACUCCUACGGGAGGCAGCAGUGGGGAAUAUUGCACAAUGGGCGCAAGCCUGAUGCAGCCAUGCCGCGUGUAUGAAGAAGGCCUUCGGGUUGUAAAGUACUUUCAGCGGGGAGGAAGGUGUUGUGGUUAAUAACCGCAGCAAUUGACGUUACCCGCAGAAGAAGCACCGGCUAACUCCGUGCCAGCAGCCGCGGUAAUACGGAGGGUGCAAGCGUUAAUCGGAAUUACUGGGCGUAAAGCGCACGCAGGCGGUCUGUCAAGUCGGAUGUGAAAUCCCCGGGCUCAACCUGGGAACUGCAUUCGAAACUGGCAGGCUUGAGUCUUGUAGAGGGGGGUAGAAUUCCAGGUGUAGCGGUGAAAUGCGUAGAGAUCUGGAGGAAUACCGGUGGCGAAGGCGGCCCCCUGGACAAAGACUGACGCUCAGGUGCGAAAGCGUGGGGAGCAAACAGGAUUAGAUACCCUGGUAGUCCACGCCGUAAACGAUGUCUACUUGGAGGUUGUGCCCUUGAGGCGUGGCUUCCGGAGCUAACGCGUUAAGUAGACCGCCUGGGGAGUACGGCCGCAAGGUUAAAACUCAAAUGAAUUGACGGGGGCCCGCACAAGCGGUGGAGCAUGUGGUUUAAUUCGAUGCAACGCGAAGAACCUUACCUGGUCUUGACAUCCACAGAACUUUCCAGAGAUGGAUUGGUGCCUUCGGGAACUGUGAGACAGGUGCUGCAUGGCUGUCGUCAGCUCGUGUUGUGAAAUGUUGGGUUAAGUCCCGCAACGAGCGCAACCCUUAUCCUUUGUUGCCAGCGGUC